rnacentral:piRNA from 1 species
UCAGAUGUAAUUGUCUCGGAGGCUU